rnacentral:rRNA from 1 species
AUUGAACGCUGGCGGCAGGCCUAACACAUGCAAGUCGAGCGGAUGAAGGGAGCUUGCUCCUGGAUUCAGCGGCGGACGGGUGAGUAAUGCCCAGGAAUCUGCCUGGUAGUGGGGGAUAACGUCCGGAAACGGGCGCUAAUACCGCAUACGUCCUGAGGGAGAAAGUGGGGGAUCUUCGGACCUCACGCUCAGAUGAGCCUAGGUCGGAUUAGCUAGUUGGUGGGGUAAAGGCCUACCAAGGCGACGAUCCGUAACUGGUCUGAGAGGAUGAUCAGUCACACUGGAACUGAGACACGGUCCAGACUCCUACGGGAGGCAGCAGUGGGGAAUAUUGGACAAUGGGCGAAAGCCUGAUCCAGCCAUGCCGCGUGUGUGAAGAAGGUCUUCGGAUUGUAAAGCACUUUAAGUUGGGAGGAAGGGCAGUAAGUUAAUACCUUGCUGUUUUGACGUUACCAACAGAAUAAGCACCGGCUAACUUCGUG